rnacentral:lncRNA from 7 species
AUAUCUGAGUCUGUUUUCUAAAACAAAGCAACUUUUGACCGACCUUUCAGCUGGGGUUAUUAAAGGAGAAAGAAGAGGGAAAACAUAUUGACAGACUCCCAGAGCAGCUGUCCAGGGAAGGAAAGACCUGCAUAAUUACCACUUGUACUUCCUCGGCGAACAUGAGCUCAAGUCUGAAGCAAGGAGUUGGGUCAAUAAAACAUCAAGGUCUGAAAACUACAGGAAAAGACCUGUCCAGCUCGUAUGAUAAGGAACUUGUUCCUAGCUACAAAAACCAGAAUAUUCUGGUGGAAGCCUCUUCAUCAGACCUUUGCAUUAUGCAGAAGUGCCAUAUGCAGUCUUUGAAAGCUUUUUUGAAGGAAUCCGUGAUUCUUCAGCCGCUUUGCCAUCUUCUCCAGAGGUGUGCUGAGGAUUUCACACAACACAGCAGGAGGCACGUAAGGUAAGAAUGUCUGAAGUUAAACAUGUUUCAGGUGUGGAUUAUCCUAAUGGGACGGGUCCUGUGCUGCGCAACACUGUGUGACGAUGCUCUCCUUCCAAUGCCUGCUGUGUUACUAUUUGAAGAUAAUCAGCAUCUUGGAGAAUGGAGGCUGAACUACAGAAAACCUUGUGACAUUUUCCUAACAAAUUUAGGUUGCCAUCAUGAGUGUCCCAGAGAAUUGGGCAAAUCAGGUAUUUUAAAAUAGGCUCUUUAGAAGUGAUGGUGCUUAAGAGCUCACUUUCCUAUUCAGUUUGGCUCAAUAAUUGUUUUUCCCCCUCACUUUUAAAUUCUGCAUACAAACGGUGAGAUGUUUGGCCCUGCAUGUUUUUUAAAUUCUAGGUGAUGAGUGAAAAAUUGGAAAGAAAAGGCAUUUUUUGAAGGUGAUCUGUUGGACCUUUACACCACGGCCACUUCUGAGAAGCCUUUUGAUUACUCAGUGACAAAGACAGUAAACUGUACCCUGAAAAUAAAGCAGAUGAGAUGUUUGAAUUGAGUAAUUCAUAGGAAAAGAAUGGUGCCCGGGUGAGUAAUAGCCUAGUACUUUCAUGAAGGUCAAGCACCAUGGGAAUGGGACAACUUUAUAAAAUCAGAUGGUUGCAUUUUGCAAUUUUGUUUCCUAUUUGCAUAUACAAAGCGUUUGAAAGCUGCUUCCUUAAGCCAUGUUAUAAACAAACCGGCAUUGAAGAGAUGGUGGUUUUGAUGUUAUGCACAUCCCCCUUGUACUACAGGAAUUAAGAUGAAAAGGACGCUUCCCUCUAGUGCCGCAUUGAAGUACAGUUUUGUAAUUUUGCUAUGCAGACAAGUUUACCAAUUCUUAACAAUAUACUGGACAUCCACAUAAAAUGAAUAACAGAUUUUUAGGAAGAGCUCUUUAACAAGUAUUUUAAAAAUCUGAUUUCACUUUGAGUUAGCUUUCAAAAUCCAGUCCAGAUAUAUGUAAAGAAUAUAAAAUGUAAAUAUAUUUUCUAAAGUAGUACAGCAUGUGAAAUUUAUGAAUUGUUACAUGCUUUGCUAAUACAGCCGAGUGAAGCUUAGCCUCAGAUCAGAUAGAAUCUUUUAGAUAAAUCAUUUAUGACUAGAUGACUUCUUAUCCAAAAGUCAAAUAUGUGAUCAUUUACAGAGGUCAAUGGUUAUAUUCUGCUCUGUGUUCCAUAAUCAGCUGAAAUAAACCCCAGGAGUCCCUCCUGAUUGUAUAGUCACAGGGUCACAGUAUAAUAAAAUGCUGCUCAAGUUGUAUUUCAGACAAGGAAUGCUCUCCCCACAACUAUUCUAGUCUCGGGGACAGGACUGUCAACAUCCAAUUCACUACAAAUGGCAAGUAUUAAGUCCAAUAUAUUGAAAAGAACCACUCUACAUACUUAGUGGUAAAAAGCCCUGCUGCAUCACACCUUUAACUAUUUAAGCGACUUUUAAAAUACAUAUUCUACACUCCUUUUUUUCCUACUUAGGGAAUCCUGUUGGGAUUUGUAACUAAAGCACAUUUUUUGAGAAAGGGGAGAGGUACUGAAAAACUUGGGAAUAUUUUUCUAAGGAACACAAAUUGGUGUUGUGGGAUAGGGAAGAAAUGCUACUAGUUUCCAUGGAAAUAAAUUGAGCAUAUUUCUAUGAAAUCCUCAUGGUAUCCUACUCAUGAUAAUACAAAGCUCACACUGGUAUUGUCAAAAAAAAAAAAAAAAGUCACAGGAUGAUGGAAAUGCAUGGAAAUGCACUUCUGCUUGAAAAGUAGAUGAAGUAUUAGCCUCUGGCAUUUCUGUCAUUCCAUGGAAACACAUGUGGCUAGUCAGGAAAGCACAAUAAAUGUUCUGCAUAAAGCCCUGCAGAAAUGAAUGAGAUUCUGUUUUCCUACGGAGUUCACUUCAAGCCGCAGGUCAGUACCUCCACCUCUGCACUGGGUAAGCUACUCAGUGAUUCAGAUGUUCUAGAAGGAAGUGGUUUAUGAAGAUAUUAGCACCACAGCUGCUUAAAUAAAGAAAAGUUGCUAAACUGGCAACCCGUAAUAAAGACAAUUAGAUAAACUGAAGUGUGAUGAGUACUACUGUGCAAUUAAGUGGCUACUUCUGCAGCCAUUCCUUUGCUUGUCUGCUUUGUUAAAAGUGAUAUCAUAGAGUCACCACUGUGCUUUGAAUUAUAGGUUAUUCCAGCCUGGUUAGAUGGAAGAAAUGCUGUGACCAGGAAAGAUGCCAGCGAGUCAGGGCUGGGCAAUUACUACAGCUGUUCAAAGAAGCACACUGGGCAGUAAUGAAUACCUGUCAUGCUUUCCCAGAAGCAAAAAUACAGCUAUUUGACAAAAAGGCUGACAGUGUUCUGUAAUAUUAUAAAGAACAGAAGACCAUCUCCAAUAGCACAAUAAACUGCUUGGAUGC